AAACCAACAGGGAUUGCCUCAGUAACGGCGAGUGAAGCGGCAAAAGCUCAAAUUUGAAAUCUGGUUGGCCUGACCCAGCCCGAGUUGUAAUUUGAAGAAGGCGGCUCUGCACGGGCCCCUUGCCUAUGUUCCUUGGAACAGGACGUCACAGAGGGUGAGAAUCCCGUGCGGCGAGGUGGGACCCGGGUCCGUGUAGAGUGCUUUCGAAGAGUCGAGUUGUUUGGGAAUGCAGCUCUAAGUGGGUGGUAAAUUCCAUCUAAAGCUAAAUAUUGGCGAGAGACCGAUAGCGAACAAGUACAGUGAUGGAAAGAUGAAAAGAACUUUGAAAAGAGAGUGAAAAAGUACGUGAAAUUGUUGAAAGGGAAGGGUAUUAGAUCAGACUUGGCGGAUUUAGGGGAACGCGCUGCCCUUGUGGCGGGUGCUUACUCCCCUGGCGCUGGGCCAGCAUCGAUUCGGACGGCGGGAGAAUGGCCAGUGGGAACGUGGCAGGCGCCCUUUGUGGCGGCUGUGUUUAUAGCCCCAGGCAGAUGCCGCCUGUGUGGAUCGAGGAGUGCGUUGCUACUUGUAGCGACUAGGAUGCUGGCGUAAUGAUCUUAAACCGC
rnacentral:rRNA from 1 species